CCUACGUUAGUCAGCCGUGCGGACUAUUGGUCCCUGGCCGCGCGUCUGCCCCAGCCAAGUAGCGUGAAGGAUGGCUGCCCUAUGGGUUGUAAACUUCUUUUAUAUGGGAAUAAAAUGUUCCACGUGUGGGAUUUUGUAUGUACCAUAUGAAUAAGGAUCGGCUAACUCCGUGCCAGCAGCCGCGGUAAUACGGAGGAUCCGAGCGUUAUCCGGAUUUAUUGGGUUUAAAGGGAGCGUAGGUGGAUUGUUAAGUCAGUUGUGAAAGUUUGCGGCUCAACCGUAAAAUUGCAGUUGAAACUGGCAGUCUGGAGUACAGUAGAGGUGGGCGGAAUUCGUGGUGUAGCGGUGAAAUGCUUAGAUAUCACGAAGAACUCCGAUUGCGAAGGCAGCUCACUGGACUGCAACUGACACUGAGGCUCGAAAGUGUGGGUAUCAAACAGGAUUAGAUACCCUUGUAGUC
rnacentral:rRNA from 1 species